GGGGGGGCGCAUUGCCAUUACAUCCCAUUUGAGACAGUUUUUCUUCUAUUUUUAGUAGCACAAUACAAUAACUGUGACAGCUGUUGCCAAUAAAGUAAAAUGAUAUUACCCACUUGAAAGCACAUUUUUUUCUGCCAAAGAACAGAACUUUUUUCAGCAAUUUUAGCCACUUCUAACCUCCAUUUUGAGUUUUUCUUCAACUCAAAACUCCCAAUGCCACCACUUCAAAUCAAUGUUUGAUUUUAUUUUAGCAAUAAGCCAUCAAGCAAAGACAAGUAAUCUUACGUUAUCACUUCACUUAAUUGUUAAUAAU
rnacentral:misc_RNA from 1 species